CUGCUUUGUAUGCUUCCAGCAACAGGGCGCUCACUCCCCAGGAAGAGGAUUCUAUGGGCUGGUGGAGUAGAAGGGCCUCGCACAUGGUAGGCGCAAAAUAAAUCCAUUCCUGGCCUAGUCCGAAAUCUUCUGGAUGUGUCCCGUGUACCUGCCACCUCCAACACUCCACGUGGUGUAACUUCUGCUUCCCCUGCUCCUGCCCCACACCCACACCUGGCAAACGCCUACACAUCCCCAGGAGCCCUGGCUAUAAGAUCAAUUUCUUUUUUCUGUGCAAGCCCUGACCUAGGAAGCUGCGAGCGCCCAUCAGCCAGUGGCCAUAGGCAGAGCUUGUUGAAUAAUGAAUGUAUGAGCUGGAUGUGCUGAUGCAUGUCUGUCAUCCCCUCUGGACCCAGAGGCAGGAGGAUUGCAAGUUCAAGCCCAGCCUGGGCAACUUAGCAAGACCCUGUCUGAAAAAAUUUUUAAAGGCCUGGGGAUAUAGCUCAGUGUGAAGGCCCUGGGUUCAAUCCCCAGCACAAGGCCGGGGCGGGGGCGGGGCGGGGAAUGAAUGGUCAUUUGGAAGGGACAUCCCAAAACAGAGCCUGGAGUCCCCAACCCCUUCAACAGCCCCCAAGCCCGAUCUCCAAGAUCUGCCAAGGCCUGACUAAGCGGAGGGGGGGCUUCCGGGCAGGGUCCUCAGCCCUUUCUGGCGUCGUCCCUUUAAGGGGCGGGGCCCACAGGCUCCCGGCGCUGCGCUCGCGGACCGGAAGCGGAGCGAGAAGGAUUGGACAGAACAACGGCACCGGGACCCCCCCCUGCAGCACCGCGCGGGAGCCCUCGGUAGUGAGGAGCCCGAUGGGGAAACUGAGGCACAGAGCCGGACAGUGACCCAAACACUGGGAGCUGCCAGUGGGGAGCACAGAGCUCAGGCCUGGCCCAGCUGGCUCAGGGUACAGAUCCACUGUUACUUCCUGGCUGCAACCUUGGCAAGUAGCUUCCCUCCUCGGAGGGGAAUCACCUUUCCUAUCUAUAAAAUGGCCCAGAGUGUCUCCCCUACACUGCGCUUAUCCAUCCUCAUCCACCCUCGCCCAUGAACUCUUACACAAGCUUAAAAACCCUA
rnacentral:lncRNA from 1 species